CUGUGAGUGGUGUGGAAGCAUGGGUUGAGAUACUCGCUUCAGGCAGCCCAAUUUCUUUCAGACCUCACGCGUUCAAUCCAUCUGCAACCAGAUUUUCCUUUGCAUCCACGACAACAACAACUCUCAAUUGGGCCUGACAUACAACCCAAUUACUUCAAACCCUUGCAAUCUGUUUCAUGACAACAACCACUAAGUCAUUUAGUUUCCUUCAUGCUGUUUUCAGAAGUCACAGCCAGAGUUCUUCCACCAGCCGCUAGGGUGGAUCUUUCAACCCUUCACGUGUCCUACACUUUCCUUUAGGGUUUAUUUUUGUUAGGUGUUUUUAUUUGUUGUUUCCCAAACUUUAUUGCCGUUAGGUUUUGCUAGACGACCAUCCUUGCUAAAACUUUGUUGGUCACGACAGCUUUGCCGUUAGGUUUCUUCCAUUCUCUUUUCGGUUGCCUUCCUCUAUAAAAGGCAGACCCAUCUUUGUAACAAACCAGCUUUGAUGAAUGCGAGAUUGGUUGAGAUUAAUCCCCCCUUUCGUCUCAGCUCAAACCCUAAACCCUAGAUUAGGUUUUCACCUCGUCGGGUUUACCAAACAAAUGAGAAACCAGAGCGAUGCGAGUGUUAAUCUCCAAAUUAGAGUCUUCCGUUGCGUUUCCCUUAUAUUUUGCGAGUUUCAAUUGGUAGAACACCGAUUGGAGAGGCUUUCCGACGAAUCCCACGACGGAGCAGCCUCACACUACAAAAAAAUAUAUUUUUAGCAGGGAUUUAUUUAUUGGGGUUCCAAGAACCUCCAGAAAAAACUAAUUUUACAGGAGGUUUUAAUAAACGUCCUUAAGUAUAAGGGGUUUGCUAAAGAAACCCCAGUAAAUUUGAAUCUUUCCUUUUUUUUUUUCAUUUCCCAUUUUUUUUAUAAUAUUUUAAAAUUUUAAUUAGACGUACUUUCUCAUUUUAAUCGUGGCAAUCUUACUUAGGAAAGAAGGAGACUGUUAUCCACCGUUCUCCUUCGAUGCUCCACCACCGUUCUCCUCGAUCUCCACCGUUCUUUUCUCAAUGCUUGAAUUUAAUGUAACGAAGAUCAUUCUCUCUACUGUCAAUUUCGUUUCUCUACUUCUUAUCAUUCUUUCUCUUUCAAUUUCAUCUCCCUACUCUUAAUUUCGAUUUCGUUUUCAUUUUCAUGCGUUCGAUUUCAAUUUUCCUACCUUCGAUUUCGAUUUCACUGCGUUCGAUUGCGAUUUUCCUACCUUCAAUUUCGAUUUCAUUGCCUUCUAUUUCAAUUUUGAUUUCACUACGUUCGAUUUUGAUUUCCUGCUUUCGAUUUCAUUUCUCUACUUUUCAUUUUGUUUUCGUUCACUCAUGCCCUAACUGACUGUUGCUAUUUUCAGGUAUUUAAUUGUCCCAUAAGAUCAGUUUCAGCCACUCUUUUAUUUUGAAUUAAAGAAUCUUCACAUGACUUCGUAAUUCAAAUUAGCUUCUCUACUAUUGUAUCAUGGUAUCAUGCUUAGUUAACCAAAAAAAUUUCAUCUCUAUAAUUGUAUUUUACUCUCUCUUUUGAGGCAUGUUUGUAUAUAAUUGUCCCCAUUCUCCUCCUUCCUCUGUUCCUGAUUUUUAUUAUGAUGUUGAAGAACAUGGCAUUGGGAUUGGUAUAUAACAUUGAUGGAGAAGAUGAACAACCCUUUGCAUAAUGGAAAAGUGAAAGUGACGAUGGUGUUAGGAAUUGUGAAGAUGAUUGCGAAGAAGAAAAUGGGUUGAAGGCGUGGUGAAGGUUCAUUGUCUUGUGUUGAUGAAAUUAGGAAGGAGAAGAAGAAUUAAAAAUGAAGGGGAGAAUGUUACCCGUGUGUGUGAUUCUAUGAAGAGAAUGAUGUUUAGAGAAUUGUAGGAUGAAUAGUUUUGAAAUGAUGAUUGUCGAUGGAUGCUGGAAAUUGAAAUGAAAUCGAUGAAAAGUGGAAUUGAAGUGGGCAUGGGGUGCAAUGAAGGAGUGGAGAAGGAGGUGAAAAAUGAAAACUUUGUGAUAGAUGAUGAUGAUGAGUAUGGCAAAUGGCAUGUCGAUCAACUUGUUAUUGCUUUGAUUGGUGACCACUAGAAUUACAAAACUUAGAGCAACAUUUAUAAAAAAGUUAAAUGGUAUAAUUUCUUCAUACAAUUUGUAUUUACUACCAGUGGGAAUUUGGAAACUUAUGUUGUUUGAGGUUCUUCCAUUGCUUAAAGCUUGAGGCUUGUGCCCACGUCGAAACCCAUAGAAUGUAAUUGUUGUAGUUGAUUUGGAUAAUCCAAAGCAUUUUACACCAUAAAUUUUGAUAGUUGUCUUGUUUUGUUUAAGGAUGAUUCCUUUCAUUAUUUAUAGAAAGUAAUAUGUGCAUUGUUUUCCUUUACCUUUAGAAGUUGAUUAUAUGUAGAUAACAAAAGUAUUGUAUUGUCCGCAUGACAACUUUUAAUAUCAUUUGGGAUAGUAGAAAUCUUAUAUCCUGUAGAUUCAGAAAUAUAUUCAAACUCAAGCUUACAUUGACAUUGUAGUUGAAUUGAUUGUUAAUUAGUUUAGCUAAAUGAAUAGAUUUAGUGGCUAGUAUGGCAUUUCGUCUCUUGAUUUUAUAAAAUGGCAUUGUGUUAAUACAUUGCGUGGUCGCUGUAAUUGCUUUAAUAUUUUGUUAUCAUACAUAGAUCCAUAGGUGAUAUUAUAUCAGUCCUGAAAGCUGAGAAAGAGGAGAUGGAAUCAUCACUCGGCAAAGAGAAACAACAUGCUCUUCAAUUAAAGCAAGAGUUGAUGGAAGUUAAGUCUCGUAACACUAACCUUGAAAGGUAAACUAUAUUAAUUAUUGAAUUUACUUUUUUAGUUUGGAAUUAUAGAAAUGUAUUUUGAUAAGAAAUUAAGCAUUAAAGUGGCUAAUGACUACGAGCAUUAAAGUGGAAUCUCCCUAUAGUUGAUGAAUUGUGACGAUCCAUUAAAAUUCUUUGCAUUUUUUUUGUUUCAAAAAGAGUUUAAUUUCUCUUUUUAAUACCAUUUUCUUUAAUAGGAAUAUUCUUAUUUUAUUAAAAAUUGACAAGCAGACCAAAAUGUAAGAUUGAAGCAUUUUUUUUUUGUUUCAAAAAGGGUUUAAUGCAUAGCCAUCCUUGCUGCAUUAAACCUUUAAACUUCUAUUAUUAUCCAUCACGUGCACAUGUCUUUUUAUGCCCCACACACCUUGAAAGGGUAUCAAGGGUUGCAAAUUCUUUUUUAGUGGGUAUACUCUUCAAGAUUUAUUAUUUGAGACGUAUUUUUACUAGGUAUUAAGGAUUUCUUUAUUUUGGGAGUGUGUAUGAAUAUUAUGCUUGGGGAUUGGUGACUUUGUAUUCCAUAUGUAGUCUUGCAGCUUUGUCUAAGUGUAAUUUUUUCUGAAAAUGUUUGUGGCCAAUUUCUAAGACUUUGUGUCUGAAUCCAUCACCGACAAGAUUUGGUCUAAUAACCUUGCCCUUCUGGUAGAACAACAUGUGGAGUGCACAUUUCAUCUUAAACAAGCAGAACAAUUUAGCCAACAAAGGUGUAGAAAUUGAGAAGAUUAUACCUAUGGAUGCUACUCCUCUUGGAGUUUCCAUCCCGUGCUAAUAUCAAGUUGUGAAUCAGAAUAAUUGGGCAAGAAUGAAGAUGAAUUUAAAUUGUCAGACCUAGAGCAGGUAUAAGAAGUUGUUAUGCAAUGUAGUUUGAGGGAUUGUCAUUUAUGUACAUGAAUUUAAUUGGUUGUCUUUGACUAGAUGGGUUGGCUAGAUAAAUACCUCAUUUGUUUGUACAUAGGAAAUAGAAGGUUUGUUUCAUCUUUGUCGCAUAAUGAAGGAGAAUCACUGAACAAUUUGAUUGUGAUAUCUACUAUUUUAUGGUUGAGGUUAUGUAUACUUCAAUUUGUUUCUUUAAUGCUGAAACUGGACUUUAUCUAAUAAAAUAAGCUGGUUGGCUCUGUCC